UACGUAGGAUGCAAGCGUUGUCCGGAAUUAUUGGGCGUAAAGAGUUCGUAGGCGGUUGCCUAAGUCUGGUGUUAAAUACAGGAGCUCAACUCCUGCAUGGCACUGGAAACUGGGCGGCUAGAGUGUGGUAGAGGUCACGGGAAUUCCAGGUGUAGCGGUGAAAUGCGUAGAUAUCUGGAGGAACACCAGUGGCGAAAAGCGCGUGACUGGG
rnacentral:rRNA from 1 species